rnacentral:rRNA from 1 species
GGUUAAGUUAGAAAGGGCGCACGGUGGAUGCCUUGACACUAGGAGUCGAUGAAGGACGGGACUAACGCCGAUAUGCUUCGGGGAGCUGUAAGUAAGCUUUGAUCCGAAGAUUUCCGAAUGGGGAAACCCACCAUACGUAAUGGUAUGGUAUCCUUACCUGAAUACAUAGGGUAAGGAAGACAGACCCAGGGAACUGAAACAUCUAAGUACCUGGAGGAAGAGAAAGCAAAUGCGAUUUCCUGAGUAGCGGCGAGCGAAACGGAACAUAGCCCAAACCAAGAGGCUUGCCUCUUGGGGUUGUAGGACAUUCUAUACGGAGUUACAAAGGAACGAGGUAGACGAAGCGACCUGGAAAGGUCCGUCGUAGAGGGUAACAACCCCGUAGUCGAAACUUCGUUCUCUCUUGAAUGUAUCCUGAGUACGGCGGAACACGUGAAAUUCCGUCGGAAUCUGGGAGGACCAUCUCCCAAGGCUAAAUACUCCCUAGUGAUCGAUAGUGAACCAGUACCGUGAGGGAAAGGUGAAAAGCACCCCGGAAGGGGAGUGAAAGAGAUCCUGAAACCGUGUGCCUACAAAUAGUCAGAGCCCGUUAACGGGUGAUGGCGUGCCUUUUGUAGAAUGAACCGGCGAGUUACGAUCCCGUGCGAGGUUAAGCUGAAGAGGCGGAGCCGCAGCGAAAGCGAGUCUGAAUAGGGCGUUUAGUACGUGGUCGUAGACCCGAAACCAGGUGAUCUACCCAUGUCCAGGGUGAAGUUCAGGUAACACUGAAUGGAGGCCCGAACCCACGCACGUUGAAAAGUGCGGGGAUGAGGUGUGGGUAGCGGAGAAAUUCCAAUCGAACCUGGAGAUAGCUGGUUCUCCCCGAAAUAGCUUUAGGGCUAGCCUUAAGUGUAAGAGUCUUGGAGGUAGAGCACUGAUUGGACUAGGGGUCCUCAUCGGAUUACCGAAUUCAGUCAAACUCCGAAUGCCAAUGACUUAUCCUUAGGAGUCAGACUGCGAGUGAUAAGAUCCGUAGUCAAAAGGGAAACAGCCCAGACCGCCAGCUAAGGUCCCAAAGUGUGUAUUAAGUGGAAAAGGAUGUGGAGUUGCUUAGACAACUAGGAUGUUGGCUUAGAAGCAGCCACCAUUUAAAGAGUGCGUAAUAGCUCACUAGUCGAGUGACUCUGCGCCGAAAAUGUACCGGGGCUAAAUACACCACCGAAGCUGCGGAUUGAUACCGAAUGGUAUCAGUGGUAGGGGAGCGUUCUAAGGACAGUGAAGUCAGACCGGAAGGACUGGUGGAGUGCUUAGAAGUGAGAAUGCCGGUAUGAGUAGCGAAAGACGGGUGAGAAUCCCGUCCACCGAAUGCCUAAGGUUUCCUGAGGAAGGCUCGUCCGCUCAGGGUUAGUCAGGACCUAAGCCGAGGCCGACAGGCGUAGGCGAUGGACAACAGGUUGAUAUUCCUGUACCACCUCUUUAUCGUUUGAGCAAUGGAGGGACGCAGAAGGAUAGAAGAAGCGUGCGAUUGGUUGUGCACGUCCAAGCAGUUAGGCUGAUAAGUAGGCAAAUCCGCUUAUCGUGAAGGCUGAGCUGUGAUGGGGAAGCUCCUUAUGGAGCGAAGUCUUUGAUUCCCCGCUGCCAAGAAAAGCUUCUAGCGAGAUAAAAGGUGCCUGUACCGCAAACCGACACAGGUAGGCGAGGAGAGAAUCCUAAGGUGUGCGAGAGAACUCUGGUUAAGGAACUCGGCAAAAUGACCCCGUAACUUCGGGAGAAGGGGUGCUUUCUUAACGGAAAGCCGCAGUGAAUAGGCCCAAGCGACUGUUUAGCAAAAACACAGCUCUCUGCGAAGCCGUAAGGCGAAGUAUAGGGGGUGACACCUGCCCGGUGCUGGAAGGUUAAGGAGAGGGGUUAGCGUAAGCGAAGCUCUGAACUGAAGCCCCAGUAAACGGCGGCCGUAACUAUAACGGUCCUAAGGUAGCGAAAUUCCUUGUCGGGUAAGUUCCGACCCGCACGAAAGGUGUAACGAUUUGGGCACUGUCUCAACCAGAGACUCGGUGAAAUUAUAGUACCUGUGAAGAUGCAGGUUACCCGCGACAGGACGGAAAGACCCCGUGGAGCUUUACUGUAGCCUGAUAUUGAAUUUUGGUACAGUUUGUACAGGAUAGGCGGGAGCCUUUGAAACCGGAGCGCUAGCUUCGGUGGAGGCGCUGGUGGGAUACCGCCCUGACUGUAUUGAAAUUCUAACCUACGGGUCUUAUCGACCCGGGAGACAGUGUCAGGUGGGCAGUUUGACUGGGGCGGUCGCCUCCUAAAGUGUAACGGAGGCGCCCAAAGGUUCCCUCAGAAUGGUUGGAAAUCAUUCGUAGAGUGCAAAGGCAUAAGGGAGCUUGACUGCGAGACCUACAAGUCGAGCAGGGACGAAAGUCGGGCUUAGUGAUCCGGUGGUUCCGCAUGGAAGGGCCAUCGCUCAACGGAUAAAAGCUACCCCGGGGAUAACAGGCUUAUCUCCCCCAAGAGUCCACAUCGACGGGGAGGUUUGGCACCUCGAUGUCGGCUCAUCGCAUCCUGGGGCUGUAGUCGGUCCCAAGGGUUGGGCUGUUCGCCCAUUAAAGCGGUACGCGAGCUGGGUUCAGAACGUCGUGAGACAGUUCGGUCCCUAUCCGUCGUGGGCGUAGGAAAUUUGAGAGGAGCUGUCCUUAGUACGAGAGGACCGGGAUGGACGCACCGCUGGUGUACCAGUUGUUCUGCCAAGGGCAUAGCUGGGUAGCUAUGUGCGGAAGGGAUAAGUGCUGAAAGCAUCUAAGCAUGAAGCCCCCCUCAAGAUGAGAUUUCCCAUAGCGUAAGCUAGUAAGAUCCCUGAAAGAUGAUCAGGUUGAUAGGUUCGAGGUGGAAGCAUGGUGACAUGUGGAGCUGACGAAUACUAAUAGAUCGAGGACUUAACCAU